rnacentral:rRNA from 1 species
AGUGGCGAACGGGUGAGUAAUAUGCUAAUACGUACCUUAAAGUAUGGUAUAAAGUAAUGAAAAUUACCUUAAUUCCGUAUAUAUAUUCUAUAUAUUUUUAAUUUAAAGGAGGUUCGCUUUAUAGAUCGUUUAGUAUCAGAUUAGCUAGUUGUUGUUUUAAUUAAUUAACAAGGCGAUGAUCUGUAGUUGUUCUGUAAGGAAGUUCAACCACACUGGGACUGAGAAUGGCCCAGACCUCUAUGGAGGGCAGCAGUGAGGAAUAUUGGACAAUGAGCGAAAGCUUGAUCCAGCAAUACCACGUGUGUGAUGAAGACUAUGUUGUAAAGCACUUUUAUGAUUUAUUAAUGAGGUUGAAUUUAUUUCAUGAAUAAGCACCGGCUAAUUACGUGCCAGCAGCCGCGGUAAUACGUAAGGUGCAAGCGUUAGUCGGUAUUAUUAGGCGUAAAGCGUGUGUAGGCUGAUUUAUUGUGAGAAUUGUUAAAUUUUAAGGCUCAACCUUAAACUGCGGUUUUUACUAAUAGUCUUGAAUUUAGGUGGGGUUAACGGAACUUUACAAGUAACGGUGAAAUGUGUAAAUAUGUAAAGGAACACCGAUAGCGAAGGCAGUUAACUUACUUUUAUUUGACGCUGAUACACUAAAGCGUGGGUAGCGAACAGGAUUAGAUACCCUGGUAGUCCACGCCCUAAACGAUGUCAACUAAUUUCUUAGGUAUUUAAUAAAGCUAACGCGUUAAGUUGACCGCCUGGGGACUACGAUCGCAAGAUUAAAACUCAAAGGAAUUGACGGGGACCUGCACAAGCGGUGGAUGAUGUGGAUUAAUUCGAUGCAACACGAAGAACCUUACCUACUUUUGACAUGUAUAGAAUCUUCUUGAGAGAGUGGAGUGCCUAUAACACAGGUGCUGCAUGGCUGUCGUCAGCUCGUGUCGUGAGAUGUUGGGUUAAGUCCUAUAACGAGCGAAACCCUUUCCUCAUAUUACUAAAGCACAUUUGAGGUACUGCCAAUGAUAAAUUGGAGGAAGGAAAGGACGACGUCAAGUCCUCAUGGCCUUUAUAAGUAGGGCUUCACACGUCAUACAAUGGUUGGUACAAUUAGAUACAAUUUCGUAAGAAUGAGUAGAUCUUUAAACCCAAUCCUAGUUCGGAUUGUACCCUGAAACUCGGGUACAUGAAGCAGGAAUCGCUAGUAAUCGCAGAUUAGAAUGCUGCGGUGAAUACGUUCUCAGGUCUUGUACACACCGCCCGUCACACC